AGACGUCUACAUUAGAUACCCUGUAGUCCUAGCCGUAAACGAUACUCGCUAGGUGUCGGCCACGGUGCGACCGUUGUCGGUGCCGUAGGGAAGCCGUGAAGCGAGCCACCUGGGAAGUACGGCCGCAAGGCUGAAACUUAAAGGAAUUGGCGGGGAGCACCACAACGGGUGGAGCUUGCGGUUUAAUUGGAUUCAACGCCGGAAAUCUUACCGGGACCGACAGCAACAUGAAGGCCAGGCUGAAGACUUUGCCGGAUUAGCUG
rnacentral:rRNA from 1 species